rnacentral:misc_RNA from 1 species
GUUAACGGUACACCAGCGUCCGUGUCAUGGUGGCAGACACGUAGAUAACAACCGAUAACCAGCACAGGGCGAUAACAUCUUUCCCAUUUAUGUGACCAUGAUACGAUACCUGCCCCAAAGGGCCGGGCAGUAGGUACAGUGUAAGCCACGUCUCAACACAUCUGAUUACCCAGAUCGAUAGUCAGAAAUAACAAGUGAUCUGAGACGCGCCCAGAACGCUACGUAUAACGCCACCUGUGUAAUUGAAUCUGUCUCAUCCGGCGGCAUAGCUUUCAUGUUACAGGUGUAACAUGAUGUUGUAACGACUAUGUUGGAACAGAUGCUAACACUGCCAUAUCAAGAAUGGUUGACAUAAUGGACUUCGUCACUUAAAUGAAGUUCCCUGUUUUACCUGAGGGUACUUGUCUUCAGAGAAGGCUACAACCACAGUAGAAACCGUGUUCACGGUUCAGUGUGAAGGACUUACAUAUUGUUAACUGGUAUAUUCGUACAGCCGAGGACUGUUUGUUAAGCCACAGCAAAAACUGACCCCUGACCAAUCAACUCUCAACGAUUUUUUCUUCAUCCAAUCAGCUGCUACAGCACAGAUAUGCGUGAUCAAGUCAUGGCGUGUUUUGGAGGUUGUGUAGAAGAGACAAGUCCAUUCCAUUCCACUGCCGAGGAACACAAAGAAGCGCGUCUGCGCGACAAACAGCUGACCAAGAUGUUGUCAAAGUAUCAUAAAGAUGAAAUGAAACGAUUAAAGCUUCUUAUGCUAGGUACUGGCGAAUCCGGUAAAAGCACAAUCACGAAGCAAAUGCGAAUAAUACACAUCAACGGUUUUGAUAACAGGGAGAGAAUGUCAAAAAUUGUUGACAUCAAGAGGAACGUCAGGGAUUCCAUUCUGGCAAUAUUAAUGGCAAUGCCGCAGUUGGACAUAUCUCUACAUGAUGAUGAAAACCAGAAGAGUGUGGAUCUCCUGUUGGAGGAGGCACAGGACGCAGACAGGCCGGUUUCAAGCGAUUUCCUGACACAUACAGAAAUUCUGUGGAAGGACAAGGGUAUCCAGGAAAGCUACAGUCGUUGUAACGAAUAUCAGCUAUUGGACUGUGCAAAAUACUUCUUGGACAAAGUCAACGAAAUCCGAAACCCCGAUUACCUCCCUUCUGACCAGGAUAUCCUCCGUUGUCGAGUCAUCACAACAUGCGUGCAACACAUAGAUUUUUCAGUCAACGAUUCCGGUCAACAAGUGCAGUUCAGUGUUUACGAUGUUGGGGGACAGCGAGGAGAGAGGAAGAAGUGGAUUCAGAUGUUCGACAGUGUCGUUGCCAACGUCUUUGUUGCUGACGUUAGCAGUUUUGACCUUACGUUGAGGGAAGACCCUGAGAAGAAUAGGUUGCUCGAGGCACUGGAGAUCUUUGAACAGGUCUGGAACAACAGGUUUCUGAGGCACGUUUCUUGUCUCCUAUUUUUGAACAAAAUCGAUAUUUUGGCGGAAAAAGUAUCCCGUAACCACACGCCCCUUGAACUCACAAGAAAAUAUCCACAUGUUUUUCCUGACUAUGAAAAAUUCGAACCAACGCCCAAUGAGAGACUGGACUUCAUCAACUCUUUCCCAGGCAAUGACGAAGUACCGAAAAAACGGAACAAAAAAACGUCUCGAACUGACGUCGACCCUGGCACCAUCAAAGCAGCUGUGUACAUCCGCAACAUUUUCAUGAGAAUCGUGACGGGGGACCUGAGGUUGCGUCAGUGUCUUCAAGACCAAGAUCCAGACUGGCACCAGUUCCAUACGUGCCAAUAUUACUACACAUGUGCCGUCGACACACAAAACAUCACAAAGGUCCUCGAGGGCUGUCGUUCUUUGAUUAUAAGGAAACACCUGGAGAGGUUUGGUAUCAUAUAGACUCCACACACAGGUGAUUCACCAUCAUCGGCACUAAAAAGCUAUUUAACUCAUGGACAUCAUUGGACAUCGAUCGAGUUAUACGAUGUUCGAGACAAGCGGAUUGUAAAGAUCAUGCCAUACAACCUACACACAGACGGAUAUGUGUCUGGAACGAAGCAAGAUGAACACCUCGACAGACUAUUUGAAUCCUGAAUGACAUAUGAAAUGACCAGCGUAUGUGUGAGAUAUUCAGAUCUAAGUGUGCUUAGAACCAGAAGGCCUCGCCAUAGACAUCAUUAUUGGUAUAGUGCCAUCAAUCACUUCGUUAUGGUCAAAUCAGGUUCUACGUGAUCAUGACGUCAUCAUGUGCUUUACGGACUUCACGAACUACGUCAUCAUGACGUCAUCAACCUUGUAUAGAUCUGACAAUACUGCCGCUACUGUGGAAGUAACGCAGUUGACUCGUCUUUCAAAAAGCGAAUAAUAUCGUUUGUUAUCUUGACUGAACUAUUGUGACUUUGUUAAUACAACCAUGACUAUUGUAUAUAACCCAAGGCUGUGAAAUUAUGUAUAUAAGAAACUUACAUUUCCAUGUAGAUGUUUAUACUUUUACCACUCUGAUUUGCUUUAUUUGCAUACAUAUUACCUUCACUGAAUUUUGCCAUGCAUAGAAAAUGAAAACAUUAAUGAGUUAGAAAGACAAUGCAUAUAACAAUCUAUAGCAUUAUGUAUUGAUUGUGAGCAGCUAAUUCUUUUGAUGAACGAGUGAAGGAAAGCGAAAGUCAUAUCAAUGAAAAAAAGGUGAAGGAAGCCAUCGACAGCAAAACGUUGUCGGUUGAGCUUUGAGAAUCUUGACAUUGUGUUUAAACGGUUACUGAACAAUGGCCAUCUACUACAACCAAACCCCAUAGAAAGGGGCUGUCGAUUUGCUAUUCUGGACUAGGAGAAAAUUGGAUAUACAGCUUCAAAUACAAGUAUUGUUUUAAAUUGAUACCAUAAGUCUGAUAAAUGAAAUAAAAACAUCUCGUAAACAUUCAUUUUUUUUUCAGCAACCUGAUGCAUAAUAUUUUUAGAAUUUGUGAGACAAUUUAGAUCUUUUGGCAUAAAAUCCCACGUCCGAAACCCACGGAAACCAAAUGGUCGGGCCUUAUAUGGAAAUGAAUGUGAUAAAAUCAGAAUGCAAAUAUAUCGUGGUCCUAUACUGAGACCUUUUACUAACGCAUCGUUCUUGCUUCAGAGACCGUGUCUGUCAGAUAUGUCGCUUAGUAUAUUAAUACUAUGAAAACAACUUAAUUCGAAAGAUUUUGACAUGUAAAGACAGAGGUGUUCAAGUAUCAACCCUAUGAAUCGUAUCCAGGUGUUCUUUCGCGGUCACGUGACCAGGCUACGACCUGUCCUAAAAUUCAAAAAAUUAAUACAAUACCCUAUCGUUAGCCAUCAUAAUAGUAUUUUAGUAUGUGAUUUGUUUAGACAGUUAUUGUUGUUAACAAACAAAAUUCAUAGCUUAAAUCCUUCAGACGUUUGUGCGACCGAAACAGCUGUGUUAUGGAGACUGCCAUUGUUUAUAUUUAAAUUGAGACAUAAAACACAAUUACACCAACUUGCUUCGCGUACACACCCUGGAUUUUCAAUUUACAUAGCACGUGGCUUGUAAUAACCGUGAAUACAUGUGUCUGUUUUCAAUAAGUUAUGCUAUUAUAUUUUCAAAAUCAAUUCACCACUUAUUACAUUAAUUCAUUAAAUCAAGGCAAUGGGAGUCCUUUCUCUUUUUCCUGUCAUUUCAGGAUACGGUUGGGUUGUUAUUCCUCAUGCUCCGUUUUCAAUGUGGAAUCACUUUUGUUAGUUUUUUACUGAUUUUAUCAUAAUGCUAAAUAUGCUUGGCAUUUCUAUUUCGUUCUGUUUCUGUAAUAAAAUCAGUUAAUACAGACUA